rnacentral:rRNA from 1 species
UUACUGCUCAGUAACACGUGGUCAAGCUGCCCUGCGGUCAGGGAUAACCUCGGGAAACUGAGGAUAAGACCUGGUAGGUGAUUUCUGCUGGAAUGCUUAAUCGCCGAAAGGCAACGCCGCAGGAUGCGACCAUGUCCCAUCAGACUGUUGGCGGUGUAAAGGACCACCAAAUCUGCAACGGGUACGGGUUGUGAGAGCAAUAACCCGGAGAUGGGGACUGAGACAAUGCCCCAGGCCCUACGGGGCGCAGCAGUCGCGAAAACUCCGCUAUGCCGGAAACGGCGACGGGGGGAUUCUGAGUGCGUGCGGUUUUACCGUACGCUUUUGUCGAGACUAGAAACCUCGGCGAAUAAGGACUGGACAAGACCGGUGCCAGCACCCGCGGUAACACCGGCGGUCCGAGUGGUAGCCACAUUUACUGGGUUUGAAGCGUCCGUAGCUGGAUCGUUAAAUCUUGGGUUAAAUCCUGGGGCUCAACCUCAGGGUCGCCCGGGAGACUGGCGGUCUAGGGACUGGGAGAGGGCAAGGGAACUCUGUGGGUAGGGGCUAAAUCCUAUGAUCCACAGAUGACCACCGGUAGCGAAGGCGCUUGCCUGGAACAGGUCCGACAGUGAGGGACGAAGCCCAAGGGAGCGAACGGGAUUAGAUACCCCGGUAGUCUUGGGUGUAAACGAUGCGGACUGGGUGUUGGCGUUGCCAAGUGUGACGCCAGUGCCGAAGGGAAACCGUUAAGUCCGCCACCUGGGGAGUACGGCCGCAAGGCUGAAACUUAAAGGAAUUGGCGGGGGAGCACAAUCGAA